UACAGAGGGGGCAAGCGUUGUUCGGAAUUACUGGGCGUAAAGGGCGCGUAGGCGGCCUUCUAAGUCGAACGUGAAAUCCCCGGGCUCAACCCGGGAACUGCGUCCGAUACUGGAAGGCUUGAAUCCGGGAGAGGGAUGCGGAAUUCCAGGUGUAGCGGUGAAAUGCGUAGAUAUCAGGAGGAACACCUGUGGCGAAAGCGGCUCACUGGACCACAACUGACGCUGAGGCGCGAAAGCUAGGGGAGCAAACAGG
rnacentral:rRNA from 1 species